GUAUUUUUUAGUUCUACAAUAUCUUUUUGGUUCUUUCUAAUUUUUCAUGUUAUUUUUUAUAGUUUCCAUUUUUCUGCUGAAACUUUGUUGAAUUUGGCCUUUAUUUCCUUUAACAGAAUGAGCAUCAUUGUUUUCCAGAUCUGAUUCUCAAAUCUAAUGAUUUGAGUAUUUUCAAUUCUUAUGGGUCUCUUUCUCUUGGUUCUUGCUCGUGAUCUAUUUUCUCAUUAGUGCUUAAUUACCUAUCACAUCUGUAUGAGGAAAUAAUUUGAGGCCUACAACGACAUCUUCCUCUAAAGAGGAAAUAUGACAUACAUAUCCCCUUGCAUCUUCCAAUCAAUGUUUGCAGAAUUCACAUUUCUUCUCAGAUUCCUGGAGGCACUGAACAUUCAGAAACAUCUUAAUUCAAUGGCUUCUUACUCACCUUACUCCUAGGGAUCACCAGCCUUCCCAGGGCAGCUUCCCAUGCUUACUUUGGAGGGUCUGUAUUCCGCUGUCAUCUCCCGAGCUACCCAAGGCUGCCAAAAACAUAGCCCAUUUUUCAGCUAUCUUUUCAGGGCUGGCACAAAACCCCCUAAAGAAAAUGUUGCACCUAAUCUGCUGUUAAACCCACCUCAGAUUUCCAUUCUGUCUCCACUCUUGCAUCAGUAAUUACUAAUAAGUAAUCACUAGCUUGUUAGCAAUUUAAUGCUCUUAAGUUAUAGACAAAGAUAUAAAUAUUGUCCUACUUUUUCAGUUGUCCUCAGUAGGAGAGUGGUCCUGAUGGCCUAGUCUACUAUUCCUGGAAAUUGAGGUUCAAUGUGUUUCUUGAUUUUCUUAUUUUCAUCCUUACUUUAGUAUGUACUUAUUAACAUUAAAAUAAAACAAAAUAAUUUAAAUUUAUUCAGUAUCAAACAUACCAUGCUAUCACAAGUAACAUCAAAACUAAGUUGUAAGUUUGGGGAAACCAACUCAAACUGACUUGAGGGGA
rnacentral:lncRNA from 1 species